rnacentral:rRNA from 1 species
CUACGUGCCAGCAGCCGCGGUAAUACGGAAGGUCCAGGCGUUAUCCGGAUUUAUUGGGUUUAAAGGGAGCGUAGGCGGACGAUUAAGUCAGCUGUGAAAGUUUGCGGCUCAACCGUAAAAUUGCAGUUGAAACUGGUUGUCUUGAGUGCACGCAGGGAUGUUGGAAUUCAUGGUGUAGCAGUGAAAUGCUUAGAUAUCAUGAAGAACUCCGAUCGCGAAGGCAUAUGUCCGGAGUGCAACUGACGCUGAGGCUCGAAAGUGCGGGUAUCGAACAGGAUUAGAUACCCUGGUAGUCCGCACAGUAAACGAUGAAUACUCGCAGUAUGCGAUAUAAUGUAUGCUGCCAAGUGAAAACGUUAAGUAUUCCACCUGGGGAGUACGCCGGCAACGGUGAAACUCAAAGGAAUUGACGGGGGCCCGCACAAGCGGAGGAACAUGUGGUUUAAUUCGAUGAUACGCGAGGAACCUUACCCGGGCU